UAGAUUGAAGCCAGUUGUUUGGGGUAUUUAGCUGUUAACUAAAUUUUCAUGGGAUAGAAACCCAUCAGUCUAG
rnacentral:tRNA from 1 species